AAACCUGAUAUGACUUAGUGGCGGACGGGUGAGUAACACGUGAGCAACCUGCCUUUUCAGAGGGGGAUAACGGCUGGAAACGGUCGCUAAUACCGCAUGAUGUGUUCGGAUGGCAUCAUCUGAACAUCAAAGAUUUUAUCGCUUCAAGAUGGCCUCGCGUCUGAUUAGCUGGUUGGCGGGGUAACGGCCCACCAAGGCGACGAUCAGUAGCCGGACUGAGAGGUUGAACGGCCACAUUGGGACUGAGAUACGGCCCAGACUCC
rnacentral:rRNA from 1 species